GUGCUGUUGGUAUAACGGUUAGCAUAGCUGCUUUCCAAGCAGUUAAACAGGGUUCGAAUCCAGACUGGCGGUGUU